GAUGAAGAACGCAGCGAAAUGCGAUAAGUAGUGUGAAUUGCAGAAUUCAGUGAAUCAUCGAAUCUUUGAACGCACAUUGCGGCCAUAGGUAUUCCUUUGGCCAUGCCUGUUCGAGCGUCAUUUACACCCUCAAGCCUAGCUUGGUGUUGGGCGUCUGUCCCGCCGUUCUCGCGCGCGGACUCGCCUCAAAGUCAUUGGCGGCGGUCGUGCCGGCCCCCUCGCGCAGCACAUUUGCGCUUCUCGGAGGCCCGGCGGAUCCGCGCUCCAGCAAGACCUUUCACGACUUGACCUCGGAUCAGGUAGGAAUACCCGCUGAACUUAAGCAUAUCAAUAAGCGGAGGA
rnacentral:misc_RNA from 1 species